rnacentral:miRNA from 2 species
UGAGCAGGGCUGUGUUUUUGAGC